UACGGAGGGUGCAAGCGUUAUCCGGAUUCACUGGGUUUAAAGGGUGUGUAGGCGGGUAUUUAAGUCAGUGGUGAAAUCUCCAGGCUCAACCUGGAAACUGCCAUUGAUACUAUUUAUCUUGAAUUCUGUUGAGGUGGGCGGAAUACAUCAUGUAGCGGUGAAAUGCUUAGAUAUGAUGUAGAACACCGAUUGCGAGGGCAGCUCACUAAACAGACAUUGACGCUGAGGCACGAAAGCGUGGGGAUCAAACAGG
rnacentral:rRNA from 1 species